CCCCCCCUUUUUUUUUUUUAAGUAGCCUGGUUUCGUGGGCUCCCGGCGUAUUCUUGCGUUCCUUCUGCACUGGGACAAGACACCACUGCACUAUUGGACUACGGCAUGCUGGUGCCGUCCGGUGGAGCUUCAUACAGGAACUACUGCCUUACCUGCUGGGGUCACAACGUUGGAUGAACGCACAAAAAGCGCGGAACGAGCUUUUAUAUAGAGCAAAAUAAAUAUUUCCUCAUUGCACAAAA